UAUGACAAAAUUUCUAAGGACAAGUUUGCUUUUGCAAUUUUUUGUCUUGAUUUUCGUAUUUUGUAACCUUGUACAUGAAUGUAAACCAAAUACACAACCAAAUGAGUCGACCUUACAAGAUGAAAAUAUAAAUCAACUUCAUAUCGGAUUACAAGUGACUAAUUAUCCCAUACACCAAGUGAUUUCAAGAAUAUUCUAUUUCUUUUUGAAAAAUGUUCUUAACUAUACAAAUGUUCAUUUAAUUCCAAUAGAAACUACAUUUAAUGAAUGGGAAAUUUUCGAAAACAUAAGGCGACAUGCAACAAAACCAACAAUCAGUAUAAUUAAUAUGUAUGUGCGUAUGAAUUAUUCUGAAAAAUUACCAGAGAAGGUAUCUUUUGCUGGACACUCCAUUGGGCCGGGGCACUACGGCUGGAUCGUUCCUAUUUCCAAUAUAUGGAUAGACAACCUAACUCACCAAAGCUUAAGUUUUAAUAUUUUCAAAAAUAUUAGUAAUACACAUUAUGAUCAAUACGUAAUUGAUAAAAACAAACUUAAAGAACUUACCCAUUUUCCUUGUGUUGUGCACUUUAAUAAUCCGAAUUGCGAUGGAUUCAAAUGCGUUACAAUUUUAGCAGAAUUUGAAAAUGACACAGGCUUUAUUAAAAAAGAAUUAAUUGAAAUGGGAUUGUUUGUCAAUGUCAUAUGGUUGGGAAAUAAUUUUAAAAAAACCAUAAAAAAUUUAAUUACAGAGUACGCACAAAACUACCCAUUUGGCUACAAAAGAAUAAUUAUUUUGCACUGGGUUCCAUCAGAUAUAUUUUAUGACAAAACUAAUUUUACUGAAAUUAUUAUACCCAAAUGCGAAUUCAUCGAGUCAUUUAAAAAAUCAGGCUGUAAAUAUGAGAAUACUUCUAUUUUAAAAUAUUAUUCAACGAAUUUGGAAUCAGACAGCCGAAUACAACACGCACUUCAUAGUUUUUAUUUACGUGAUGAGGACGUCGAAUAUAUAUGUAAAGACCUUGAAACCUAUAAACAGAACAUGUCUUUGGAUUUGUACAACAGUGUGGCUAGCCACUGGCUUUCAAAUAAUACUUAUUAUUAUAGAAAAUGGAUAAAAAUGGAACCACCUAUAAAUCUUUUCAUUGGUGGUAUAUUUCCUUUAAAUAUAUCAAAAAGUGGAUAUGAAAAUCUUUUCAAUGUUUCAAGAAGUGCAGCAUCAGCUAUUAAUAAAAAUGAAUCAAUAUUACCUGGAUACAAUUUGAAAAUCUUAGCCAGCAAUGGGCAAUGCCAAUCGAAUAUGGUUCUAAAAUCAUUUAUUCACUAUUAUACAAGGCCAAAUAUGUUAGGUAUCUUAGGUCCAGCAUGUAGUGAAACAGUAGAGCCCAUAGUUGGCUUAGGAAAGUAUAUGAAUUUGAUAGUUAUGUCCUAUUCUGCUGAGAGUGUAAACUUGGUUAACAGUAAAUCUUACCCCUACUUCUUUCGUACAAUAGGAUCAGAUUUGAUUUUCAUAGGUGCAUAUCUUGAAAUCAUGAAAAUCUUUGAUUGGAGUAGAGUAAGUAUUUUAUAUGAAAAUGAAGCAGUUGAAUAUAUCACGAAUUUGAAGCGUAAUUUAAAGUAUAGAAAUUUUACUUUGGUCAAAAAUAUUAAAAUUAACACCAACUGCAAGCCCACCGAUAUCAAAGAGAACCUUCAAAACUUAAAUCAAGCCCGUUCUAAGAUUAUAAUUGCAAAUUUACAUUUUCCUACUGCUGCGAGAACAAUUUGUGAGGCAUUUAAAUUAAAAAUGACUCAACAGUAUGGUUGUCGCGGAACGGAUUAGGGUUAUCGAUAGUUAGUUAAGUUUAAACUUAGCGCCGCAGUAUUAUAUGUAUCGAUUGCUUUGGUAUUUAAGUUUAGGUUAUUUGAAAAAAAGUGUAAACAGAGGGAAAAAAAAGUGUAAACAGAGGGAAACAGUUUGGCGGAAUUAGACCAAUUUGCGCCAUCACAAUAAGAGGGAAGAGAAACUGCGAAUAAAACCAUCAACAAACACAGAACUCCAACUGUUGUCCAGCACUAGUGUUUAAAGUGUUUAAAGGCAUUCCCUGUGAUCGGCCAAGCGGCGACAAUGGUUAUAUUUGGUUUCUUCCCCAUGGACUUGUAAAAGACUUUUAUAGUUGGCAAAUAUCGAUGUAAACGAUAGCUGAAGUGCGCAAUAAUUUAUGGAGACUUAUAUGCUCCAAAUAAGUAUAACCACGUUGGUUAAUAACUAUUAAUAUU
rnacentral:misc_RNA from 1 species